UUUUUUCAUUUUUUUGGUGCACCGAGUUCCGCCCCCUUUCCAUUUUUUUGGUGCG
rnacentral:tRNA from 1 species